CUCCCCCGCCGCUAACGCUACUUAUCCCGGGAAAGCUCGAGCGGGCCCUGGGAGCGAACCCACAGACAAAAAGUGAAACUUCGGCAGCAGGCCGGGAGUGGCUGCUGACGACAGAUUGGAAAGCUGAGCUUGAGCAAAGAGAUCCUGCCAUGGAACACCCCACCCCCUACCCUAAGAGCCUCGUCGGAGCCCCGCCCAAGACUCCAGCAGGACUCAGAAGUCCGGGAUGGUAGAGAGCAACUUCAGUUCACUUCGCACAGGAGAGCUCCGAAGCUGGGACCUGACCCAGUCCUGCCCUGUGGAGAGGAGCCAGUAUUCUACUCUUAGCUGGGUUUCCGCCUCCAGGCACGACCCGGCCUCUAACUGUGAGCUUAGACCCAAGUUAGACCUAGGCAGAUGACUUGACCACCCACUGAAGUGACUAACCCCAGUUCCUGGAAGGUUGUGGUUGACAAGCCUUGAGAAACAAUGGCAAUCGAGUGCUUCAGGGCAACUUCCUGUCCUUUGUUCAAAGACAAGAACCUUUGGAGUUUAACUUUUGCUUCCCAACCCUGCCCCUGCCGGGAAACCAACCAGAAAGCUUGCUCUGUUCUUACAGCUUAAAAAAAGAAAACACACGAACUGGGUGAACUGGUUUGAAUAAAGACAAGCCUGUUCUUGGAAGGUUGGGUUUGGAUAUUUUGUGUUUGAUAUUUGUAAAAGUGAGCAAUGAUGAGAACCCCAUUUACUAGGUAGGAGACACUGGAAGCCCUCUGGCCCUCAGUAGUGAAUGCUUUUCAUCCAGGCACAAGAGAGGUUUACAUAGACCCUGUCACAAACUAACCAAAAACAAAGAUGUGUGUGUGUGUGUUUCUAUCCUGUAUCCUUUGCCUUGCCCCAGUCUCCCAAACAACCUUAACCCAUACUAAUAACACAACCACCCAUUCUGAUCUUUGAGUGGGUUGGGUAGGAUCUAAGGAAAAUACCAUGACCUGCACAACACAGCUGUCUGAGCACGCUCCUGACCUUCCACUCUCAAGCCACCUUCCACCACCGUGGACCCUCACCUUCUGCAGCCUAACUCAGUCAUGCAGACAGGAAAAGUACACCAGGAACUACAGGUGCAGGGACGCUCCAAUGUGGCCUCUUCUCCGGUUAUAUUUUGAUGAACCUUUUUAACUAAGUGUCAAAGUACAUACUCCUGUACUUAACAUGUAUUGAACAUUUAUCGGGCAGUCUUCAAAAUUCAAACACUUCUGGGGCCAAACUGCUUAACCCCUUUGCCCUCCCAAGUUUCCCAGCUACACACACUCAAAAGUAGGAGUACAGCAGGAGAGAUCAAGAGUACCUGUGCGUUCCACGGGAAACAGGCUCCCAGGGGUCCGACUUUCUAAGAGAUCACAGUGUAUUCACUCUGCCCUAAGCAUUUCAGCCAAUGCUUGCCCUGUGUGCUACUGCAAUGGAAGUCAUCCAUUGCUCAUUUAGGUAUAACGGAACUUGACCAGCAUCCCUUGCCUGCUUUACUCCCUUCUCAGUAACCCACUUAUAAAGAAUAAUAGAGUUCUAAUGAGGAUUAAUAAAAUUUAAUAAGG
ensembl:lincRNA